CGAAGCUGGAAUCGCUAGUAAUCGCGGAUCAGAAUGUCGCGGUGAAUACGUUCCCGGGUCUUGUACACACCGCCCGUCACACCAUGGGAGUCGGGAAUGCCCGAAGUCAGUGACCCAACCUAUUGGAGGGAGCUGCCGAAGGCAGGUCUGAUAACUGGGGUGAAGUCGUAACAAGGUAAC
rnacentral:rRNA from 1 species